UACGUAGGGUGCAAGCGUUGUCCGGAAUUAUUGGGCGUAAAGAGCUCGUAGGCGGUUUGUUGCGUCGGCUGUGAAAUCCUGAGGCUCAACCUCGGGUCUGCAGUCGAUACGAGCAAACUAGAGUGUUGCAGGGGAGACUGGAAUUCCUGGUGUAGCGGUGAAAUGCGCAGAUAUCAGGAGGAACACCGGUGGCGAAGGCGGGUCUCUGGGCCGUAACUGACGCUGAGGAGCGAAAGCGUGGGGAGCGAACAGG
rnacentral:rRNA from 1 species